GCCGGAGUGGUGAAACUGGCAGACACGUAAGACUCAAAAUCUUAUGGGAUUCACCUCCCGUGUGGGUUCAAGUCCCUCCUCCGGCA
rnacentral:tRNA from 1 species